rnacentral:misc_RNA from 1 species
UUUCCGUAGGUGAACCUGCGGAAGGAUCAUUACUGAGUGAGGGCCCCUCGGGGUCCAACCUCCCACCCGUGUUUAACGAACCUUGUUGCUUCGGCGGGCCCGCCUCACGGCCGCCGGGGAGCAUCCGCCCCCGGGCCCGCGCCCGCCGAAGCCACCUGUGAACGCUGUCUGAAGUCGGCAGUCUGAGACAAUUAUUAAAUUAAUUAAAACUUUCAACAACGGAUCUCUUGGUUCCG